rnacentral:lncRNA from 1 species
UGACUUUUGAAGUUUCAGAACAUCCACAUUAGGCUUGCUCUUGAGCACAUCCCGGAGCAUGCUGAAAAGCUUUUCCUGUAUAAUGAUCAAAUGGAAUGCUGUAGAGAUUCAAGGAAUGAUCCAGGAGUACAGAUGAAGUUUACCAAUAACUUUAAAGGUUGGAUUUCAUUGCUAGCACAAGCACAUGUGGGCAAGUCAAUGCAUAAUUUGUUGUUGCUAAUCCUAAAUUGCAAAAGAAAAAAAAAAUCUGACAUUAAGAACUAUAACCAUUAUGAAUAGAUUGAAAUGACAAAUGAAU